rnacentral:rRNA from 1 species
GUGGGGAAUUUUGGACAAUGGGCGCAAGCCUGAUCCAGCAAUGCCGCGUGAGUGAAGAAGGCCUUCGGGUUGUAAAGCUCUUUUGUCAGGGAAGAAACGGCUGAGGAUAAUACCUUGAGCUAAUGACGGUACCUGAAGAAUAAGCACCGGCUAACUACGUGCCAGCAGCCGCGGUAAUACGUAGGGUGCAAGCGUUAAUCGGAAUUACUGGGCGUAAAGCGUGCGCAGGCGGUUUUGUAAGGCUGACGUGAAAUCCCCGAGCUUAACUUGGGAAUUGCGUUGGAGACUGCAAGGCUAGAGUCUGGCAGAGGGGGGUAGAAUUCCACGUGUAGCAGUGAAAUGCGUAGAGAUGUGGAGGAACACCGAUGGCGAAGGCAGCCCCCUGGGUCAAGACUGACGCUCAUGCACGAAAGCGUGGGGAGCAAACAGG